CCCUAUGUUUCCCAGGCUGGCCUCGAACUCCUGACCUCAAGUGAUCCUCCCACCUCAGCCUCCCCGAGUGCUGGGAUUAAAGACGUGAGCCACGGCACCUGGCCUGAAUUUUCCUCAAAUUCAAAAAAUCCUGAUGAAGGUUUGGCUAAAAUCUUUGGUGAGUUACCCCACUCCCUGUGGAACCUCAGGCUGGAUUUGAAGAGUUGCGUGCAUGGUCCUCAUUGUCUCCCAGGUAACCUGUUCCCGCUGCUGUGAAGGGAAGGCAGGUGCUCUUCCUUGAGGCUAGAAUCUGUCUACGUGUCACAGUCUCAGGAAAUUAAGCAAAACAGAUGAUAAACACCUCAAAAGGACCCUACUGAGCAUCAGUGGAGCAGAGCAGGGCCAUGUGGGACUGCGGCGUCAGAUGCCACCUCACACUAGCUGUGACACACCUGCCUCGCCAGUUUCUGCUCUGAGGCCCCAAAGCCGAGCUGAACCUCCUCCAGGGGUUCUCAGCCCUAACUGAGCAUGAAAACCCCUGGGGCAAUCCUCUUUUUAACAAUUGAGACAUUCCACACACACCCCACAUCAGAUUUUGGGGUGUGGGGAUAGACCUUCACAUUUGUAGUUUUCUAACCCUCCAGGGGACACUAGGCUGAGACUCAUUGGUCUCCACUCUGAACCUUCCACUGAACAUGUGAGAAAAACUAAGGCCCAGGGAAGUCUUUAGCAGAGAGCUGAGACGGAGAAAAGGGUUCUGAACCACAGCUGUCUGCUGAAGGAAGCUGUCCAAAGGCCAGUGAAGUCUCUCCUGAGGGUGCCUGGGCUGUGCAUCAGGAGUGAAGGUUGAGGGUCACCUUAGGUGUGAGAAGGAGCAACUGGGAGAGUGGCGCUGAUGCUUCCCCCCGGGUUAGGAGGCAUUUGGAUCACAGAGCGAUGCCUGUUCAUUCCUGCUUGCAAGGGAGCAGAUCUCUCGACACCCGAUGGGCCUCUAUUCCGUUCCGGCAGCUGUCCGUGUCAGGAGCGCUGGGCUUGCUCCUCCCCACGGGAGCCAUCACAGAGGCCUCGGGCAGUCUGCAUAGACAACUGCCUGGCAGGUGACCAGGAGGGGAUGCAUGAGCAGAUGCAGGUAGCACUCGCAGUCCCCCUAGCUGUGCCCUCAGCACCUGCUGUCUAGGAGGCAGAAGCCUUGUUCUCGGCCUUGCAGGUGACCCCAGUGUCUCUGAAUUCGGCCCCAUAUGUGUAGGAGGGGAGUGAUUGCAUCUGAAGAUGGGAGUCUGGUUGGGGGUUUGGGAAGCUCCCAUCACCCCUCAAGAGUCCACUGACCAGCCCAGCUCACACCAGGUGGGCCUUGGCACUGGAGGCCACGGCUCAACUCUGCAGUUCCCUCUGGGCAGCAUUUCCAGGGACUCGUAGGUCAGCAUGGUCAUCAAGGACAGGUGGUGAGAGCAGCUCCUCAUUGUCCUGGUGACCCCGAUGGUUCAUUUUCUGGUGUCUCUGUGGUGAGAGCAGCUCCUCAUUGUCCUGGUGACCCCAAUGGUUCAUUUUCU
rnacentral:lncRNA from 10 species